rnacentral:rRNA from 1 species
UACGAAGGGGGCUAGCGUUGUUCGGAUUUACUGGGCGUAAAGCGCACGUAGGCGGAUCGAUCAGUCAGGGGUGAAAUCCCAGGGCUCAACCCUGGAACUGCCUUUGAUACUGUCGAUCUGGAGUAUGGAAGAGGUGAGUGGAAUUCCGAGUGUAGAGGUGAAAUUCGUAGAUAUUCGGAGGAACACCAGUGGCGAAGGCGGCUUACUGGUCCGGUACUGACGCUGAGGUGCGAAAGCGUGGGGAGCAACAGG